rnacentral:rRNA from 1 species
UACGUAGGGGGCUAGCGUUGUCCGGAAUCAUUGGGCGUAAAGCGCGUGUAGGCGGUCCGGUAAGUCCGCUGUGAAAGUCGGGGGCUCAACCCUCGAAUGCCGGUGGAUACUGUCGGGCUAGAGUACGGAAGAGGCGAGUGGAAUUCCUGGUGUAGCGGUGAAAUGCGCAGAUAUCAGGAGGAACAUCAAUUGCGAAGGCAGCUCGCUGGGACGUUACUGACGCUGAGACGCGAAAGCGUGGGGAGCAAACAGG